AUGGUCACUUGGUGAGGUAAUUAAUUGAAUCAAGUAUGCCACAGUUGUUUGAUUUAGAUGAAAGUCCUUCUUGACGCAGACGUCUGGAUUACCGUACGACAGCAUUAUAGGGGUGGCAUCAUUUAACUGCAUGUACAGUCCUCUGUCCGUCUGGAAAAAAGAGAAUAACAGACUAAAUGUUAUUUGAAUACUGUCAACACAUCCAACAUUCAUCCACCUAGGUGAUAGCAUAUGUAUAGGCCUGUAGAAAUGAUGUUGCUGCUCUGACAUUCUUCAACAAUAUUCUCCUUGUCUUUGUCUUAAUUGAGGACAAACCGUUUUAUCACAUUACAGUGGAAUUAAAAUCAAGAAUGUACUAGGCUACAUCUACACAAUUCCAUUGUUAAUCUACAAUAAAUAAUUUACAGAACUUACUAAAGAAGAAGAAUAUUCUACAUAAAGAUUAGAUAUGAAUAUACCAUUGCUACAAAAUGCAUUAGCAACAAAAAAAAAAAAAGAAAAAGAAAAAAGACGCAAGUACCUUUCUCUGGUGCAUCAACGCUAAAAGGAGCUUUAAUGUCCAUGCCUUCUGGAAGCUCUGUUCCUCUGAUCUUCCAACAGCCGGUGGAUCAUGGCAACAGUUGCCACUCCCGAAAGACACUGAUAACAAGAUACCAUGGUUACGAAUGUUACGUAAUAUCCGAUUUCCGCUUGACCGAGGGAAGUUUGUCCCAAAGCUUGCCGCUGUAUUUAUACCCUUCACCUUAAUGAAGGGAACCUCAUUCAGCUGUAAGUGUGACUACAAACAGAGUGCACUCCGUGACGAAGUGGAAGUGGGUAGGGGCUAGUUUGGAAAAGGUCCAAUGUCUGCAGACACAGAAAUGCCAGAGGAUGUGACCAGAACAAGAAGUUUGUCAGCAAGGAAUGAAGAUAUCCAUUCAAUUUACAAGCCAUCUGCUCCUCACUACUGAAAACCAGAGACUGGACACAGAAUACAAGAAGCUUAAAAUUAAGAAGUUGAAGCUGGAAAUUAAGAAACUGGAGAAGGAUGUAAGUAUAAAUUUAAACACAGCAGAAAGCCAUGGUUUGGACUGUAUUUAAUUCUUUUUCUUUUUUGUCUUCACAGCUUGAACAAAAUGAGUCAAUAAAUAACUUCAAUACAAAGUACAAAAUUAUAUUUGCUAUGCUUCCAAAUAAAAGGGAUCCCUCAAAAACAAAGGUGACCUUGAAUAAAAUGGGGAUCAGCUGAAAUAGGUAUUCUUGUAAAGGUCCCUCACUGUUCUUCCAUCCAUGUGUUCCUGAAGGGCUGGGUCAGUGUCUUCCCAUUUGCUCCUCCAGCAACAUUGCAGGCAGUCUCUCACUGCAACGUAGAGUGUCAGUGAUAUGACAUAUUUGGUUAGGAAAGGAAAUAAUUGAUUUGUUAUCUGUAUUUGUGUAAUUCUGAUAAGGUAAAGUGAAACACUAUCUCUGUACAGUACAGGUGCUUCUUUGUGUAAGGCUGACACUGAAUUGCACAUAUCUGUGAACAACUGCCAGGGUAACAGGAUUUUCAUCCAAAGAAGUGUCGACAUCCAAGCUAAUUUGAUCUAUUAACACAGAUUUGCACAUUUCUUCCAGAUCCUAUUAUUACUAUUCUGCCUGACAGUGUAUGGACAGCUGCACCCCAGUACAUACCUGUACAUUUAGGCUAUGGAAACAUUUCCUGUUGAUAUAAUCUGCCUCCUCAGGUCCAGAUGGGGCCUGGAUAUGCACAUGAGUGCAGUCUAUGGCGUCUAUGAC